rnacentral:rRNA from 1 species
AACGCGAAGAACCUUACCUGGGUUUGACAUGGAUCGGAAGCGCUCAGAGAUGGGUGUGCCUCUUUUGGGGUCGGUUCACAGGUGGUGCAUGGCUGUCGUCAGCUCGUGUCGUGAGAUGUUGGGUUAAGUCCCGCAACGAGCGCAACCCUUGUUCACUGUUGCCAGCACGUUAUGGUGGGGACUCAGUGGAGACCGCCGGGGUCAACUCGGAGGAAGGUGGGGAUGACGUCAAGUCAUCAUGCCCCUUAUGUCCAGGGCUUCACGCAUGCUACAAUGGCUGGUACAGAGAGUGGCGAGCCUGUGAGGGUGAGCGAAUCUCGGAAACCGGUUCAGUUCGGAUUGGGGUCUGCAACUCGACCUCAUGAAGUCGGAGUCGCUAGUAAUCGCAGAUCAGCACGC